AUGAACGCUAGCUACAGGCUUAACACAUGCAAGUCGAGGGGCAUCAGGAAGAAAGCUUGCUUUCUUUGCUGGCGACCGGCGCACGGGUGAGUAACACGUAUCCAACCUGCCCUUUACUCGGGGAUAGCCUUUCGAAAGAAAGAUUAAUACCCGAUGGGAUAAUNAUUCCGCAUGGUNUGAUUAUUAAAGGAUUCCGGUAAAGGAUGGGGAUGCGUUCCAUUAGGUUGUUGGUGAGGUAACGGCCCACCAAGCCUUCGAUGGAUAGGGGUUCUGAGAGGAAGGUCCCCCACAUUGGAACUGAGACACGGUCCAAACUCCUACGGGAGGCAGCAGUGAGGAAUAUUGGUCAAUGGGCGCUAGCCUGAACCAGCCAAGUAGCGUGAAGGAUGACUGCCCUAUGGGUUGUAAACUUCUUUUAUAUUAGAAUAAAGUGCAGUAUGUAUACUGUUUUGUAUGUAUAAUAUGAAUAAGGAUCGGCUAACUCCGUGCCAGCAGCCGCGGUAAUACGGAGGAUCCGAGCGUUAUCCGGAUUUAUUGGGUUUAAAGGGAGCGUAGGUGGACUGGUAAGUCAGUUGUGAAAGUUUGCGGCUCAACCGUAAAAUUGCAGUUGAUACUGUCAGUCUUGAGUACAGUAGAGGUGGGCGGAAUUCGUGGUGUAGCGGUGAAAUGCUUAGAUAUCACGAAGAACUCCGAUUGCGAAGGCAGCUCACUGGACUGCAACUGACACUGAUGCUCGAAAGUGUGGGUAUCAAACAGGAUUAGAUACCCUGGUAGUCCACACAGUAAACGAUGAAUACUCGCUGUUUGCGAUAUACAGUAAGCGGCCAAGCGAAAGCAUUAAGUAUUCCACCUGGGGAGUACGCCGGCAACGGUGAAACUCAAAGGAAUUGACGGGGGCCCGCACAAGCGGAGGAACAUGUGGUUUAAUUCGAUGAUACGCGAGGAACCUUACCCGGGCUUAAAUUGCAGUGGAAUGAUGUGGAAACAUGUCAGUGAGCAAUCACCGCUGUGAAGGUGCUGCAUGGUUGUCGUCAGCUCGUGCCGUGAGGUGUCGGCUUAAGUGCCAUAACGAGCGCAACCCUUAUCUUCAGUUACUAACAGGUCAUGCUGAGGACUCUGGAGAGACUGCCGUCGUAAGAUGUGAGGAAGGUGGGGAUGACGUCAAAUCAGCACGGCCCUUACGUCCGGGGCUACACACGUGUUACAAUGGGGGGUACAGAAGGCAGCUACCUGGUGACAGGAUGCUAAUCCCAAAAGCCUCUCUCAGUUCGGAUCGAAGUCUGCAACCCGACUUCGUGAAGCUGGAUUCGCUAGUAAUCGCGCAUCAGCCACGGCGCGGUGAAUACGUUCCCGGGCCUUGUACACACCGCCCGUCAAGCCAUGGGAGCCGGGGGUACCUGAAGUACGUAACCGCAAGGAUCGUCCUA
rnacentral:rRNA from 1 species